UUUCUCUCUGUAUUUCAUAAUUUUUACCGUAGUUUUUGUAGAAGUGCACUUAAUAGGGUUGGUGUUGUACAACAUGCACCAACGAUUCCCUACAACCAUACCACGGUAGUUUCCUGUUUACCCUCUCUGUUAUUCGGAAGUCGCGAUUGUUCACUGAUCCUUUCUGAGCAGAACAUAAAUCGCGUAUACUGCAGUACUUCUCAUUUUUCUUUUUCUUAGAAUUCGUGGUUCACAGUAACGCACUCUAAGGCGGGCGGGUUGUGCAUAUCUCUUGUUUAGCGUUGCUGCCACAUUUAACACGUACCAACUCUUCUCUUAUAAUUGCAAGCUGUGGUGGAUCCAGCCUUUCUUUGGCGUAACUCGAGCGGUAGACAAAAAAAAAAAAAAAAAAGGAAAAGAAAACUAAAGGCAGUUUGCAAGACGUACUGCUCCCCGCGUGUCUGCACCUGACUGUAACGCAGCCCAAGCAAGCUAUAUAUAAAGAAAUAUUGUUAAAGUGACAUCGAGCGGCACUUUGCACUGCACUAUAGGGCGGUUGCAAUCCGACGCAGAGCGCAAAGUUCCUUGGUCACAUCGUACGCGUCGUGUAAUCGUUCGUUUCUGCAGCGAAAAAAAAAAAAAAAAGUGUGCACGCAGUUUUCCGCAGCCGUCUUUUGUGUGUUGAGAUCAAAAUUUUGCAAUGAAAAGACAAAAAAAAAAUGUGUCACCAAAUUUUCAGUUCCUCAUUCGGUUGCCUCCCUCGCCGGAUAUCCUUCGCAGCAUUCACUAUAGCAGCAGCAACUCAGGAGCGAACAGGUCUGGGUCCGGCGUGUCCAUCAAGGCCUCCCACACGCCGCCAAGACCGUGGGUUCCGGCGCGGCUGGCGUUCUCACCCGGCAGAUGGCUUCUUCCCAUCUGACGCAGGGCCCGUGUUGGUCUCGCCCUCGCCGACGUUCCUAUAAAGGCGCUCGGUCCGCAAGAUGCGCCGCACGACGGCCGCCCGCUCACCUUCCACCGUCCACAAGAUUCUCCGAGCCAUGUGGAAGUACACGGCGAUGCUGCUGCUCUGGCUGCUGUGCCUCGUCGCGGCCGCUCCGGCGCAAAGUAAGCCGCAUAUGGAGCCGAUUGCUCACAGCGCAUGCGUGCGUCUGAUGGUUGGUUGUUCGAGCACUGUGCGUACAGAUCAGAAAAUCGAUCAAGCAUAAACACAGUCAGUUCCGAGACAGUUAUAAAAGCCUGUUUCGCGCAAUCAAUUUAGUAGCCAACGAAAUAAAACUACGGAGUGAUAAUUUUUAAGUUUUCCGAAAUUUUGAAAAAUUGCCUGUGGCAGAUGGCAUAUUUCUUGUCCUUGAGCUGGAUCAUUCGAAGUGGCGGACAUUACUAGCACGAGAAAGUGAAACACAUAUUCGAUUAAAUAACGAAUUAUCAGUAAAUAACUUCUUAAUAAAUCACUUUACGGCAUAUAUUGCAAUUUAAAAAUUGUAGCUGGUGAGGUUGCAAGACGUAUCCUCUUGAAAUGAAUCUCCAGGAUGACACCAGUUUCGAGAUAUUUCCUAAAGUGUGGGACAAAGUACAUGGCCGUUCCAUGGCAGUUACUUUCGUGAUUCGAUGCAUAAAAGAGCGUUUUGUUAAAAAAGUUAGUGGAACAGUGCAUUUUUAAUUCGAGUUUGAUAACGCAUAUCUCCAAACUGGUGUCAUUCUGGAAAUUCAUUCCGAUAUAAUUAAUUAAUUAAUUAAUUCCGAGUGGAUACGCCUUGAAAACUCGCCGGCUACAAAUAGUAAAUUUCAAUAUGUGCCAUAAAGUAAAUGAUUAAGAAUGAGUGAUUCUUUAAUUAGUUGAAUAUGUGUUUUGAUUUCUAGUGCAAGUAAUGUCCGCCUCUCUGAAUAUUCCAGCUCACUUCAUUGCUCACUAUUCAUUGCU